UACAGAGGGUGCGAGCGUUUAAUCGGAAUUACUGGGCGUAAAGCGUGCGUAGACGGUCAAGUAAGUCGGGUGUGAAAGCCCCGGGCUCAACCUGGGAAUUGCAUUCGAGACUGCGUGGCUAGGGUGCGGAAGAGGGAAGCGGAAUUUCCGGUGUAGCGGUGAAAUGCGUAGAUAUCGGAAGGAACACCAGUGGCGAAAAGCGGCUUCCUGGAUCC
rnacentral:rRNA from 1 species